UACGAAGGGGGCUAGCGUUGCUCGGAAUCACUGGGCGUAAAGGGUGCGUAGGCGGGUCUUUAAGUCAGGGGUGAAAUCCUGGAGCUCAACUCCAGAACUGCCUUUGAUACUGAAGAUCUUGAGUUCGGGAGAGGUGAGUGGAACUGGCGAGUGUAGAGGUGAAAUUCGUAGAUAUUCGCAAGAACACCAGUGGCGAAGGCGGCUCACUGGCCCGGUACUGACGCUGAGGUGCGAAAGCGUGGGAG
rnacentral:rRNA from 1 species